rnacentral:rRNA from 1 species
GGCCUCUCUGAGAAAACAAGCAAAUAAGUUAAAACUUUCAACAACGGAUCUCUUGGUUCUGGCAUCGAUGAAGAACGCAGCGAAAUGCGAUAAGUAAUGUGAAUUGCAGAAUUCAGUGAAUCAUCGAAUCUUUGAACGCACAUUGCGCCCGCCAGUACUCUGGCGGGCAUGCCUGUUCGAGCGUCAUUUCAACCCUCAAGCCCUGCUUGGUGUUGGGGUCCUACGGCUGCCGUAGGCCCUGAAAGCUAGUGGCGGGCUCGCUAUAACUCCGAGCGUAGUAGUAAAAUAUCUCGCUAGGGAGGUGUCGCGGGUUCCGGCCGUGAAAGCCCAUCUUUUACACAAGGUUGACCUCGGAUCAGGUAGGAAUACCCGCUGAACUUAAGCAUAUCAAUAAGCGGAGGAAAAGAAACCAACAGGGAUUGCCCCAGUAACGGCGAGUGAAGCGGCAACAGCUCAAAUUUGAAAUCUGGCUUCGGCCCGAGUUGUAAUUUGUAGAGGAUGCUUUUGGUGAGGUGCCUUCUGAGUUCCCUGGAACGGGACGCCAGAGAGGGUGAGAGCCCCGUAUAGUUGGACACCGAGCCUCUGUAAAGCUCCUUCGACGAGUCGAGUAGUUUGGGAAUGCUGCUCAAAAUGGGAGGUAUAUYUCUUCUAAAGCUAAAUACUGGCCAGAGACCGAUAGCGCACAAGUAGAGUGAUCGAAAGAUGAAAAGCACUUUGAAAAGAGGGUUAAAUAGUACGUGAAAUUGUUGAAAGGGAAGCGCUUGUGACCAGACUUGUGCCCGGCUGAUCAUCCAGUGUUCUCACUGGUGCACUCUGCCGGGCUCAGGCCAGCGUCGGUUCUCGCAGGGGGACAAAAGCUUCGGGAA